rnacentral:lncRNA from 1 species
UGUGGGGUGGUGAGGGUCUCCCCACCAGUGCUGCACCCCGCAGCAGCAUACAGGCCUGUGUGGCCUGCUGGCCCUGUGGCUCUGUGUACAGCGCUGUGCAUGUUACAUUUGCUCUGGAAACAUCUCUGGGGUUUGCUUGUUCACGAAGUUCAUGAAGUGCCGCUGGAGAGCCAGAGACCAGCUGCGCAGGAGCCGGAGGAACGGGCAGGCCGCUGACCUGAGGUCUGGAGAAACCCCUGGAGAAGGGUGUCCCCACCAGCCCAUACAGCGUGUGUGUGGAGGGGGCCUUGACCUCCGUGAUGUCUACUGUGCCUCAGGAUAAGGACCCGCCAUGCCCUGGCUAGACAGUGUGUGGUUUUUUAUUGGCACCUCAGUCUCAACAUUUUCUUUUCGGAUUCAUGAGGAAAGAGAAAUCCUGGGGUUGGACCCCAAGACGACGUACAACAGGUUCUGCGGAGACCAAGAGAAGGCGUGUGAGCAACCCACCCACUGGAAGAUCACCUACUGAGGAGGAUCCUCCAGGGCCGCUCCCCGGACCCGACAGGCGCGGGUGGAUGCAGGUUCUGUCGCCGUGGAGUCACCGUCUACUGCCAGCCGGGAGCUGGGCGGACAGGAC